GCAAUUAGCUUGUUUUUCUUCUACUAUAUAAGCCGACCCCGUUCUCUGUAGAGUAGAACUCCUGAAGUCUUCAGCUGUCUGCACUCUCAGCACCAACUGAACUACCCGAGCCCAAAGAUGUUCACCUUGAAGAAAACCAUGUUACUCCUUUUCUUUGUUGGGCUCAUCUCCUAUUCUCUCUGUCACCGAGAGAGAGAAGCCGAUGAAGAGGAAAAUGGAGGGAAAGUUGCAAAGAAAGAAGUAAAAAGAAGUUUCGCUGACAUCAUGGCCGCUGUGGGGAAGCAACUAAAUGAGUGCGAAGCCAAUAAUUUUCAAGGAGCGGGUUGUGAAAAUAUGAAAAAAAAUUUGAAACUGUAAUAAGAAUUAUUCUGAUGUGGAAUAUCAUUUGGCUAAAUCCUAAAUGUCUGAUAAAAAAUUUUAAAUAUCACUUAAA